AUGAUCUCUCAUAGUUAAGCGCGCUUGGGCUAGAGUAGUACUGGGAUGGGUGACCUCUCGAGAAGUCCUAGUGGAGAUCUAU
rnacentral:rRNA from 1 species